rnacentral:rRNA from 1 species
AUGGAUUUUCUCGACAGUGCUAUGUUUUACUACGAAGCACGGGGUGGAGAGGUCAGGGACAAGAAGAGAAGGGGCGGCAGGCUCGCCUUCGGCCAUAAGACCGACUUCUGUUGCAUCCAGCAACCGAGUGGUUCUCUUAAUGAUGGAUUCUAUGUCCUACACCACAUGCUGGAGUACAGACGGGAUCACCAGAACCUUUGCAUGUCACCUACAUCCGGCGAUGCCCAUAUUCUGCAAUGGGCAAAGAACGUAGGAGAUAUCGAGGAUCAUCGACUUCGAGCCGAGUUCUAUCACAUCCAGCGCGAACUUUCCCAAAUCAUCAUGAAGGAGGUCGUCGGAAAAACAGAGAUGUUCUACGAAGAAGGACAAAUGUCGCGGGAAGACGUCCGAACACAGGUAGCCUCUCAGCGUCUCGAUGUGAAGCCUUUCACUAGGCUCGGGGACUAUCUCCCUGACUUGGAUGGAUGGCACGACAUGUUGGAGUGA